CCUACGGGAGGCUGCAGUGAGGAAUAUUGGUCAAUGGGCGGAAGCCUGAACCAGCCAAGUAGCGUGCAGGAUGACGGCCCUACGGGUUGUAAACCGCUUUUGCACGGGGAUAACACCCUCCACUUGUGGAGGUCUGCAGGUACCGUGCGAAUAAGGGCCGGCUAAUUCCGUGCCAGCAGCCGCGGUAAUACGGAAGGCCCGAGCGUUAUCCGGAUUCAUUGGGCUUAAAGGGAGCGUAGGCGGGCGUUCAAGUCAGCUGUAAAAUCGCGCGGCUCAACCGCGCCCCGCAGUUGAAACUGGACGCCUUGAGUUCACAACAGGCAGGCGGAAUUCGUGGUGUAGCGGUGAAAUGCAUAGAUAUCACGAGGAACCCCGAUUGCGAAGGCAGCCUGCCGGGGUGCGACUGACGCUGAGGCUCGAAGGUGCGGGUAUCAAACAGGAUUAGAUACCCUGGUAGUC
rnacentral:rRNA from 1 species